CUUACGGCCAUAUCAGGUUGAAACAUCGAUUCUCGUACGAUCACCAAAGUUAAGCAACGACGAGCAGGAGAAGCACCAAGAUGGGUGAUGGCUUGAGAAUGCCAGAUGCGGU